rnacentral:rRNA from 1 species
AGUGAACGCUGGCGGUAGGCCUAACACAUGCAAGUCGAACGGCAGCACAGUAAGAGCUUGCUCUUACGGGUGGCGAGUGGCGGACGUGUGAGGAAUACAUCGGACUCUACUUUUUCGUGGGGUAUCACGUAGGGAAACUUACGCUAAUACCGCAUACGACCUACGUGUGAAAGCAGGGGAUCUUCGGACCUUGCGCGAUUGAAUGCGCCGAUGUCGGAUUAGCUAGUUGGCGGGGUAAAGGCCCACCAAGGCGACGAUCCGUAGCUGGUCUGAGAGGAUGAUCAGCCACACUGGAACUGAGACACGGUCCAGACUCCUACGGGAGGCAGCAGUGGGGAAUAUUGGACAAUGGGCGCAAGCCUGAUCCAGCCAUACCGCGUGGGUGAAGAAGGCCUUCGGGUUGUAAAGCCCUUUUGUUGGGAAAGAAAAGCAGCAGGUUAAUACCCCGCUGUUCUGACGGUACCCAAAGAAUAAGCACCGGCUAACUUCGUG